rnacentral:rRNA from 1 species
UAUGUGCUGUGAGCUCGAUGAGUAGGGCGGGACACGUGGUAUCCUGUCUGAAUAUGGGGGGACCAUCCUCCAAGGCUAAAUACUCCUGACUGACCGAUAGUGAACCAGUACCGUGAGGGAAAGGCGAAAAGAACCCCGGCGAGGGGAGUGAAAAAGAACCUGAAACCGUGUACGUACAAGCAGUGGGAGCCC